GGCCGAGUGGCGGAAUGGCAGACGCUGGGGACUUAAAAUCCCCUGCCCGUUAGGGCGUGUGGGUUCAAAUCCCACCUCGGCUA
rnacentral:tRNA from 1 species